AGUUGAAUACGCUUGUUUUACUGCCCAAUGCUACACUACCGGUUGGUACUAACCUAGCAUGAUAUACUCAGACAUGCCACUUAGGUAUAAUGUUAGCUUGUCUCCUACAGCUCAAACGUGUUCAGUUUCCCAGGUCCCCGCAUAUUUCCUAUAAUCUAAAAUAGUACAGCACACAUGACACUCUAAACUAAGCUUAACCUGGUAUACCGCAUACUCUUACUGAAAUGUCUCCAUACACUAAGCAAAUCUUUAAUCCUAUUGUUAUUUCUCUUAAGCUUGUAACCUUAAAACCAUAUACCAUAGUCAGUCAGGAAAUCACACUGUGUAACUUAUAUAAAUUCGCUCGUAACUGACAAGU